rnacentral:rRNA from 1 species
GACGAACGCUGGCGGCGUGCUUAACACAUGCCAGUCGAACGGAAAGGCGCUGCUUUUGUUGGGUUCUCGAGUGGCGAACGGGUGAGUAACACGUGAGUAACCUGCCCUUGACUUUGGGAUAACUUCAGGAAACUGGGGCUAAUACCGGAUAGGAGCUCCUGCUGCAUGGGGGGGGUUGGAAAGUUUCGGCGGUUGGGGAUGGGCUCGCAGCUUAUCAGCUUGUUGGUGGGGUAGUGGCUUACCAAGGCUUUGACGGGUAGCCGGCCUGGGAGCGUGACCGGCCACAUUGGGACUGCGAUACGGCCCAGAAUCCUACGGGAGGCAGCAGUGGGGAAUAUUGCACAAUGGGCGGAAGCCUGAUGCAGCAACGCCGCGUGCGGGAUGCCGGCCUUCGGGUUGUAAACCGCUUUCGACGGUGACGAAGCGUGAGUGACGGUAAUGAGUAAAGAAGCACCGGCUAACUACGUG